CAGUAGCCGCGGUAAUGCGUAGGUGGCAAGCGUUAAUCGGAAUUACUGGGCGUAAAGCGUGCGCAGGCGGUUAUAUAAGUCAGAUGUGAAAUCCCCGGGCUCAACCUGGGAACUGCAUUUGAGACUGUAUGGCUAGAGUGUGUCAGAGGGGGGUAGAAUUCCACGUGUAGCAGUGAAAUGCGUAGAUAUGUGGAGGAAUACCGAUGGCGAAGGCAGCCCCCUGGGAUAACACUGACGCUCAUGCACGAAAGCGUGGGGAGCAAACAGGAUUAGAUACCCCUGUAGUCCCUGUCUCUUAUAC
rnacentral:rRNA from 1 species